UGUAGCUCCAUUCCAAAGUAUACCCCCAUAGCCUCGUUUCAAUCGUCGACAGGGUAUUCGUACCACGCUGAAGGGGGCGAACAGUCUGGGGUUCUUCUCGAGUGUGAUACAGAUGGCAAUGGCUUUAAGAUGGCCACCCAGUUCUGUGAAUAUUCCCCAGAAAUUAUUCACAUCAGAAGCCAAGACUUUUUUCAGAACGAUGCCGACAACUAUUAUGUAAUUGUGUAAUGACAUCAUAACUAUCUAGCGCAUGAUGAAAUAAAGUAACGAUGGUCACAUCGAUGUUACA